rnacentral:rRNA from 1 species
UGGGGAAUAUUGCACAAUGGGCGAAAGCCUGAUGCAGCGACGCCGCGUGAGGGAUGACGGCCUUCGGGUUGUAAACUUCUUUCAGCAGGGAAGAAGCGAAAGUGACGGUACCUGCAGAAGAAGCGCCGGCUAACUACGUGCCAGCAGCCGCGGUAAUACGUAGGGCGCAAGCGUUGUCCGGAAUUAUUGGGCGUAAAGAGCUCGUAGGCGGUUAGUCGCGUCUGCUGUGAAAACUCGAGGCUCAACCUCGGGCUUGCAGUGGGUACGGGCUGACUAGAGUGCGGUAGGGGUGACUGGAAUUCCUGGUGUAGCGGUGGAAUGCGCAGAUAUCAGGAGGAACACCGAUGGCGAAGGCAGGUCACUGGGCCGCAACUGACGCUGAGGAGCGAAAGCAUGGGGAGCGAACAGGAUUAGAUACCCUGGUAGUCCAUGCCGUAAACGUUGGGCACUAGGUGUGGGUCCAUUCCACGGAUUCCGUGCCGCAGCAAA